rnacentral:rRNA from 1 species
UUUAAUUGAAGAGUUUGAUCAUGGCUCAGAUUGAACGCUGGCGGCAG